rnacentral:rRNA from 1 species
UACGUAGGGUGCAAGCGUUAAUCGGAAUUACUGGGCGUAAAGCGUGCGCAGGCGGCUUUGCAAGACAGAUGUGAAAUCCCCGGGCUCAACCUGGGAACUGCAUUUGUGACUGCAUGGCUAGAGUACGGUAGAGGGGGAUGGAAUUCCGCGUGUAGCAGUGAAAUGCGUAGAUAUGCGGAGGAACACCGAUGGCGAAGGCGGCAUCCUGGACCGGCAUUGACGCUGAGGAGCGAAAGCCAGGGGAGCAAACGGG